UUAAGUUCAGCGGGUAUUCCUACCUGAUCCGAGGUCAACCUUUGUAAGAUGGGGGUUUUACGGCCGGAGCCCGCCCCGACCCAAGAGCGACGUAUGCUACUACGCUCAGAGCCGGUACGAGACCGCCGCUGUCUUUCGGGGGCUGCAGGCGCAGGUCCCCAACGCCAGGCGAGGCCUGAGGGUUGAAAUGACGCUCGGAC
rnacentral:misc_RNA from 1 species